rnacentral:rRNA from 1 species
GACGAACGCUGGCGGCGUGCUUAACACAUGCAAGUCGAGCGAUGAAGCUCCUUCGGGAGUGGAUUAGCGGCGGACGGGUGAGUAACACGUGGGCAACCUGCCUUAUAGAGAGGAAUAGCCAUUCGAAAGGAUGAUUACUCCCUCAUAAUAUUGUAGCUUCGCAUGGAGCAACAAUCAAAGGAGCAAUCCACUAUAAGAUGGGCCCGCGGCGCAUUAGCUAGUGGGUGAGGUAACGGCUCACCAAGGCGACGAUGCGUAGCCGACCUGAGGGGGUGAUCGGCCACAUUGGGACUGAGACACGGCCCAGACUCCUACGGGAGGCAGCAGUGGGGAAUAUUGCACAAUGGGGGAAACCCUGAUGCAGCAACGCCGCGUGAGUGAUGACGGCCUUCGGGUUGUAAAGCUCUGUCUUCAGGGACGAUAAUGACGGUACCUGAGGAGGAAGCCACGGCUAACUACGUGCCAGCCGCCGCGGUAA